UACGGAGGGUGCAAGCGUUUAUCCGGAUUCACUGGGUUUAAAGGGUGCGUAGGUGGGCAGGUAAGUCCGUGGUGAAAUCUCUGAGCUUAACUCAGAAACUGCCGUGGAUACUAUUUGUCUUGAAUGUUGCGGAGGUGAGCGGAAUAUGUCAUGUAGCGGUGAAAUGCUUAGAUAUGACAUAGAACACCAAUUGCGAAGGCAGCUCACUACACAAUUAUUGACGCUGAGGCACGAAAGCGUGGGGGAUCAAACAGG
rnacentral:rRNA from 1 species